GGACUUGAGCGAGCCAGUUGCCGGAUUAUUCUAUUUCCCCUCCCUCUCUCCCGCCCCGUAUCUCUUUUCACCCUUCUCCCACCCUCGCUCGCGUAGCCAUGGCGGAGCCGUCGGCGGCCACUCAGUCCCAUUCCAUCUCCUCGUCGUCCUUCGGAGCCGAGCCGUCCGCGCCCGGCGGCGGCGGGAGCCCAGGAGCCUGCCCCGCCCUGGGGACGAAGAGCUGCAGCUCCUCCUGUGCGGAUUCCUUUGUUUCUUCCUCUUCCUCUCAGCCUGUAUCUCUAUUUUCGACCUCACAAGGUACUGACUUGGGCAACAGCAGUGACUACAAGUGCCAUACUGACCAAUUGGAAGAGUCUUUGCUUAAAAGGCUUAUUAGUUUUUAGUCUUCAUUCUAUUUAAUGUUUUCAUGCCUUUAUAAACUUUUUACUUCCAGCCCAAUUUUUCCCAUUGUCUUGGCACAGGUCAGCUGUGUCCAAGUU
rnacentral:sRNA from 1 species